GUUUUGCCAUGUUGGCCAGGCUGGUCUCGAAUUCCUGACCUCAAGUGAUAUGCCUGCCUCGGCCUCCCAAAGUGCUGGGAUUACAGGCGUAAGCCACAUGCCCAGCUCGAUCCCUCCCUUUUGUUCAACAAACUAAAUUCGAGCAGGAGGCUCUAGGAUUCCACAGGCAUGAUGAAAUGGAAGCCGGAGGAUCUGGGAUCGGUUCCUUGUGAGGCUUUCUCUGUUACUCUGCUGUGCGGCUGGCCAGGGUCGCAUUGGUGUGCCCCAUGGAAUGAUUGAGACUGGCCGGGAGACAUCAAGAGGUAUUAAUGUGUAUUUUGCAAGGAAGGUGCAGGAGCUGGGGCCUUACCUGCAGUUGCUGAUGGAUUUCUUAGUGAGAAAAAUGGUUACAUGUUCAUUGUGAAUCUGCAAAGCGGGGGCACUACUCAUUGUUGUCACUCACGGGUAGAAGAAGCCAAUGGAGGCUCGAUUUGGACAUGAACUUCCCAGGGACUAGAGAAUGCGGCGCUUAAAACUUCUGCUAAAUUAUGUGUUUCCUUUGUGCUUCCAUUUCUUUGGCCACAGCAAGUCACAUGACAUGAUAGGAAACACAACCCUCCCACAAAGCCAGUGGAGAACUGGAAUCUUUGCAAAUGGCCCUCAAGCCUGUCAUCUAUGUGCAUGGUAACAGGAGAGGGAAUUGGAAAGGUGAGUUAGGGGCUGCUUUCUGAAGUUGUGUUUGCAAAACACACAAACCAGUUUAAUAUGGUCAGGCUUUGUGUCCCUGCCCAAAUCUCAUCUUGAAUUGUAAUCCCCAGAUGUUGAGGGAGAGACCUGGUGGGAAGUGACUGAAUCAUGGGGGCAGUUGCCCCCCUGCUGUUCUCAUGAUAGUGAUGAGUUCUCAUGAGAUCUGAUGGUUUUAUAAGGCAGUUUUCCCUGCUCUUGCUAGCUCUUCUCUCUCCUGCUGCCAUGUGAAGAAGAUCCUUGCCUCCCCUUUGUCCUCCAUGAUUGUAAGUUUCCUGAGGUCUCCCCAUCCAUGUGGAACUGUGAGUCAAUAAAACCUCUUUCCUUUAUAAAUUUCCAGUCUUGGGUAGUUCUUUACAGCAGUGUGAAAAUGGACUAAUACAUAGUUUUACCUUUAUUUUGUUUCUGUGAGGUGUUUUUCAGUUGAAGGUAUUCAUGG
rnacentral:lncRNA from 10 species